AUAUUUCAGCAUGGAAUGACAGAAUAGGACGCAUGGUUUUAUUUUGUUGGUUUUCAAAACCAUCGUAAUGAUUAAUAGGGACGGUCGGGGGCAUCAGUAUUCAAAUGUCAGAGGUGAAAUUCUUGGAUUCUUUGAAGACUAACUACUGCGAAAGCAUUUGCCAAGGACGUUUUCAUUAAUCAAGAACGAAAGUUAGGGGAUCGAAGAUGAUCAGAUACCGUCGUAGUCUUAACCAUAAACUAUGCCGACUAGGGAUCGGGCGGUUGUUUGUUAUAAUGACGCGCCCGGCACCUUACGAGAAAUCAAAGUCUUUGGGUUCUGGGGGGAGUAUGGUUGCAAGGCUGAAACUUAAAGGAAUUGACGGAAGGGCACCACCAGGAGUGGAGCCUGCGGCUUAAUUUGACUCAACACGGGGAAACUCACCAGGUCCAGACACAAUAAGGAUUGACAGAUUGAGAGCUCUUUCUUGAUUUUGUGGGUGGUGGUGCAUGGCCGUUCUUAGUUGGUGGAGUGAUUUGUNUGCUUAAUUGCGAUAACGAACGAGACCUUAGCCUCUAAAUAGGGGGGNCCGCGCUUGUUGCGGGCUGCUCCUUCUUAGAGGGACUAUCGGCUUCAAGUCGAUGGAAGUUUGAGGCAAUAACAGGUCUGUGAUGCCCUUAGACGUUNUGGGCCGCACGCGCGCUACACUGACGGAGCCAGCGAGUUUUUGUCCUUGGCCGAGAGGUCUGGGUAAUCUUGUGAAACUCCGUCGUGCUGGGGAUCGGCCUUUGCAAUUCUUGGCCGUCAACGAGGAAUUCCUAGUAAGCGCAAGUCAUCAGCUUGCGUUGAUUACGUCCCUGCCCUUUGUACACACCGCCCGUCGCUACUACCGAUUGAAUGGCUUAGUGAGGCUUCCGGAUUGGCCUAGCAUGGGGGGCGACCUCUGCGCGGGGCCGAGAAGCUAGUCAAACUUGGUCAUU
rnacentral:rRNA from 1 species